CCCUCUCUUUGAGAGAUUCAUUGUGUGUCUCUCUCUCAGAGAGAGAGUGAUCGAUAGAGAUAAGUCAGCUCUCAGACUGCUCUGAUCUGAAAUUGCUAACUGUGUCUCAAGAACAAAUGGCAAUGACCUGUGGGAUUCCACAGGGGUCAAUUCCGGAUCCCCAAUAUUGUUCAACGUGUACAUGCUUGCUUUAGGUCAGCUGAAAGGCAGCUAUGAAGCGCAACCUUGUUGGCCACAUUUAGAGUCAUUCUGUCACUGCAUUGAGUGUAUUAGUGUGUUGGAUAAAUAACUUUCUCCAGCUAAACUCAGACAAAACUAAAAUCAUAGUCUGUUGGGUAACAGAGCAACAAAGAGAAAGUUUUAUCAGUCACCUUGGGACUCUCAGUAAAACUUAAUACCGGUAAUCAAAUUAGCAACCUAGCAGCAACAUUCGACUGAUACUUGAAUAUUAACAGCCACAUUAAAUCGACAACAGUGACCGCUCCUUUUUUACCAUCUAACAACAUUGCCCAAAUCAAAAUAAUGGUUUGCAAACCUGACUUAAAAGGUAAAAUAACAGUUACAGUAAAGUUUUUGUUUCAUUGGAGGGUGAGCGGUGGACUUCACGCAACAAAUUGUAGCAUCCGCCAUGUGCCUGUUCUUAGUCUUGAGUAUAAUUCAAUAUAUCAGCCUUACAAGCAAGCUGAUAAUUGUCCUAAAACAAGACAGUGACUUCAUUCAUAAGUCCAGAAAGAAGUCCUAAAAGUCUUUAAAACCAACGUCGUCCUUCAUACUUAAGAACAAAGUGCCCACGAGAUUAGGAAAAUGCAUGCUUUCCUAUAAUUUGCUAACGACUUCCUAAAGACCGCAAUGAACUAGUCAAAUCCUGGUCAAGAUGACUUCAUCCCGAUGUCCUUUCCUGUUUCCAGUGUUUUCCAAACAAACUGCUCAUUUCCUCACGCCUCCUUGUGGUGGUCAUUGCUAAAAAUGAUGCGGGUGUGUUGGAACGUGUUCAGUGAGGUUUUUAUCUUCAGAACAAACCAGGCCCUCGCUUCCUAAUAAUUCAUUGUUUGUCUGUGCCAGGGGUAAAGUUAUUGCGCAAGCAGUUAACCUACUAGACCACCCACGCCAAACAAUGAUGGGGUCCCUAGCGCGAGCGCUCUUCAGGACCCCGUCCAAGGAGUCCAGGAAGAGGUGAGUACUCAGAAAUACGGUUUGGUGCCCAAAUAAACAGGCAGAACCCGUCCCGCCACCUGAUGGCGGAGGAAGGCAACCCCCUCUUCCACCGGGGUGUACCUCAGCCACUGAGCCACAUGGCAACAAGUAUACCCACGCCUGCUCAGAACCUCCCUCUUUGGGCAACUCCAGAGCAGAACAGUGUCCACCACAGAUCAGGCUCCUUCCCGGCCAGAGAAAUGACAUUGCACGUCCUGAGAGCCAGCUCUGCCUCCACCUAGCUCUCUGCUCACCGGACCUCUUUAGCCGCUCCCACAGGGUCACAAAGUCCCACACAACUCGGCUCCAAGGGGACACACCAACCUCCCCCUACCACGACAAGGUGAUAGCUCAGGGAGGGGAGGGGUGUGUGUGUGUGGGGGGGGGGGUAUUUUUAUUUCUGUCUAAUGUCAAAAACAAUAUGUCAGUGUUAACACUAUCAUUACAUG